rnacentral:rRNA from 1 species
CUCUCAUGCCGUCCUUGAAUGGUGCAUCCUGGCAUUAAGUUGUCGGGGUGAGAGCCGUUCAUCGUUUACUGUGAGAAAAUUAGAGUGUUCAAAGCAGGCUUAUGCCGUUGAAUAUAUUAGCAUGGAAUAAUAAGAUAGGACUUUGGUACUAUUUUGUUGGUUUGAGAACCAAGGUAAUGAUCAAUAGGGACAGUUGGGGGUAUUCGUAUUCAGUUGUCAGAGGUGAAAUUCUUAGAUUUCCGGAAGACGAACUACUGCGAAAGCAUUUACCAAGGAUGUUUUCAUUAAUCAAGAACGAAAGUAUGGGGAUCGAAGAUGAUUAGAUACCAUCGUAGUCUAUACCAUAAACUAUGCCGACUCAGGAUGGGCGGGUGCAUUUUUGCCUCGUCUGCACUGUAUGAGAAAUCAAAGUCUUUGGGUUCCGGGGGGA